AGAUUAAAAUUGAACUGCUUAUCAGCAGGGAAGAGACUGAGUUCAUCUAACCUGAGGCACAUUAAAGUUGCACAUCUAGCAUAAGCCAUUUGCCUUGGCUCUCCCUCCAGUCAAAGAAGUGACUUCAUAGAGUGAUUCACUCCAUCCUAAGAAUAGUGCCUGAGAGUGGUUGGCUGACUUACCUGGAGGACGUCUUUUGGGGUAAGAUAUGAAUGGACUUAAAAAAGUCAAAUACCAUCCACCAAUAGUGAGGAAUAAAUUAUGUUCAAAUGGCAGGACUGAUUAAAAACCACAUCCCCCUUUUCUCAAUGUCAAAGCUGCAUACGUAUACCAGUGGGUGCCAGAGAAGAUACUGCAGCACUGAUUUAGUAACAAGGGGGACUACACUGGAAUCAGCAUCAAAAAUCAACUCAGCUCUUUCAAUUUGCUGAAAACAUGGAAGAAAAUCAAAACUGAGCAAGAUCUUCAAAAGUGUUUUUGCUGCCUGUCAGGAUACAAAAAGAUUUAGUCUGCGUUUUCACAUGGUUUCUCUACCUUAGUCUCACUGAGAUAUUUAUCAAGUUAAUUGUUUUUAAGAGUCCCUUGUCAGUGUCUCCUUCAUCACUUGACUUUAUGUCAUCAGUAUCCUCCUUUCACUUAGAAAUAUUCCAUCUUAACUCCCCCCAUCAGUGACUGUAACUCUCUCCCACCUCUUGGAAGAAACAUGCACAGAACAGACUAUUAACUCCAAAGCAGAAUGCUAUGUAAAGUAAUGUGAAUGUUUUAUACUUGCUAUAAUCUAUGGGGGGAGAAAAUCAGAGACCAAAAAUAACCAUGACAAAGACUAGCUGUAGCAACUAUCUGUGCCUGCAUCAUAAGAAA